UACGUAGGGCGCAAGCGUUAUCCGGAAUUAUUGGGCGUAAAGAGCCUCUAGCGGUUUGUCGCGUCUGCCGUGAAAGUCCGGGGCUCAACUCCGGAUCUGCGGUGGGUACGGGCAGACUAGAGUGUUGCAGGGGAGACUGGAAUUCCCGGUGUAGAGGUGAAAUUCGUAGAUAUCAGGAGGAACACCGAUGGCGAAGGACGACGU
rnacentral:rRNA from 1 species